UACCUGGUUGAUCCUGCCAGUAGUCAUAUGCUUGUCUUAAAGAUUAAGCCAUGCAUGUCUAAGUAUAAAUAGUAUACAGUGAAACUGCGAAUGGCUCAUUAAAACAGUUAUAGUUUAUUUGAUAAUUAAAUUCUACAUGGAUAACCGUGGUAAUUCUAGAGCUAAUACAUGCUGUAAAACCUAACUUCACGGAAAGGUUGUAUUUAUUAGAUAUCAAACCAAUAUUCCUUCGGGUCUAUUGUGAUGAUUCAUAAUAACUGAUCGAAGCCAAGCCUUGCUCGGCUAAAUCAUUCAAGUUUCUGACCUAUCAGCUUUCGAUGGUAGUGUAUUGGACUACCAUGGCAAUCACGGUUAACGGGGAAUUAGGGUUCGAUUCCGGAGAGGGAGCCUGAGAAACGGCUACCACAUCUAAGGAAGGCAGCAGGCGCGUAAAUUACCCAAUCCUGAUUCAGGGAGGUAGUGACAAGAAAUAACAACUCGGGGCCUCACGGCUUACGAGAUUGCAAUGAGAACAAUUUAAAUCACUUAUCUAGGAACAAUUGGAGGGCAAGUCUGGUGCCAGCAGCCGCGGUAAUUCCAGCUCCAAUAGC
rnacentral:rRNA from 1 species